rnacentral:rRNA from 1 species
UUGGUGAUUGAGUGGCGGACGGGUGAGUAACGCGUGGGUAACCUGCCCUGUACAGGGGGAUAACAGUCAGAAAUGACUGCUAAUACCGCAUAAGACCACAGCACCGCAUGGUGCAGGGGUAAAAACUCCGGUGGUAUGAGAUGGACCCGCGUCUGAUUAGGUAGUUGGUGGGGUAACGGCCUACCAAGCCGACGAUCAGUAGCCGACCUGAGAGGGUGACCGGCCACAUUGGGACUGAGACACGGCCCAAACUCCUACGGGAGGCAGCAGUGGGGAAUAUUGCACAAUGGGGGAAACCCUGAUGCAGCGACGCCGCGUGAGCGAUGAAGUAUUUCGGUAUGUAAAGCUCUAUCAGCAGGGAAGAAAAUGACGGUACCUGACUAAGAAGCACCGGCUAAAUACGUGCCAGCAGCCGCGGUAAUACGUAUGGUGCAAGCGUUAUCCGGAUUUACUGGGUGUAAAGGGAGCGUAGACGGAGUGGCAAGUCUGAUGUGAAAACCCGGGGCUCAACCCCGGGACUGCAUUGGAAACUGUCAAUCUGGAGUACCGGAGAGGUAAGCGGAAUUCCUAGUGUAGCGGUGAAAUGCGUAGAUAUUAGGAGGAACACCAGUGGCGAAGGCGGCUUACUGGACGGUAACUGACGUUGAGGCUCGAAAGCGUGGGGAGCAAA